rnacentral:ncRNA from 1 species
CCUGCUGUGCGACCAGCAGUCGGCUACCCGGACGUGCGCGACUGGUAACGCGGUCGGGUUCGAAGCUUCGGGACAACACACCCUCCCUAUGCGCGGUUCAACCGGGUGACCGAGAAGAGCCGACACUGUGAGGUUGACCCGCAAAAACGG